AUCGCGCUNUNUGCANUCNCAGGGGCAGCNGACCACUUCGGUGGNGCUGGCGACCGGCGCACGGNCUGANUAUCGCGUUUGUAACCUACCCUUAACUGGGGCAUANCCCGAAGAAAUUCGUGAUUAAUACCCCNUUAAAUUCUAGCACGGCAUCGUGCUACCAUUAAAGCUCCGGCGGUUAAGGAUGGGCAUGCGUGACAUUAGUUUGUUGGUGAGGUAACGGCUCACCAAGACUACGAUGUCUAGGGGGUCUGAGAGGAUGAUCCCCCACACUGGUACUGAGACACGGACCAGACUCCUACGGGAGGCAGCAGUGAGGAAUAUUGGGCAAUGGACGCAAGUCUGACCCAGCCAUGCCGCGUGCAGGAUGACGGCGCUAUGCGUUGUAAACUGCUUUUAUACAGGAAGAAACCCUCCUACGUGUAGGAGGUUGACGGUACUGUAAGAAUAAGCAUCGGCUAACUCCGUGCCAGCAGCCGCGGUAAUACGGAGGAUGCAAGCGUUAUCCGGAUUCAUUGGGUUUAAAGGGUGCGCAGGCGGGGCAAUAAGUCAGUGGUGAAAUCCUGCGGCUUAACCGUAGAACUGCCAUUGAUACUGUUGCCCUUGAGUAUAGUUGAGGUGGGCGGAAUAUGUAAUGUAGCGGUGAAAUGCAUAGAUAUUACAUAGAACACCAAUUGCGAAGGCAGCUCACUAAGCUAUCACUGACGCUGAGGCACGAAAGCGUGGGGAGCGAACAGGAUUAGAUACCCUGGUAGUCCACGCCGUAAACGAUGAUCACUCGUUGUUGGCAAUACAUCGUCAGCGACUGAGCGAAAGCAUUAAGUGAUCCACCUGGGGAGUACGAUCGCAA
rnacentral:rRNA from 1 species